UACGUAGGGGGCUAGCGUUGUCCGGAAUCAUUGGGCGUAAAGAGCGUGUAGGCGGUCCGGUAAGUCCGCUGUGAAAGUCGGGGGCUCAACCCUCGAAUGCCGGUGGAUACUGUCGGGCUAAAGUGCGGAAGAGGCGAGUGGAAUUCCUGGUGUAGCGGUGAAAUGCGCAGAUAUCAGGAGGAACACCUAUUGCGAAGGCAGCUCGCUGGGACGUAACUGACGCUGAGACGCGAAAGCGUGGGGAGCAAACAGG
rnacentral:rRNA from 1 species